AUCAAAAUUUCCCUUUUAUGUCUCUCAAAUGCAUAAAAAUAGAGACUAUGAAGCAAGAGAUUGAAGCUGAGAACAUGUGAAGAGUUUCCUUCAAUUUAUAAUGCUUUGAUUAUAGUGAAGGAGAAGAGAUAAGUUCCUUUCCUUCCUGACUUCUUCUAAUCAAGGAAGAAGAACUGUGCUCAGAGAAGCAGCAAGGACGCCAGGCAGGAGGUCAUGAGGCAAGAAGGAAACAGUCUCGAACGCCUGCCAAGCUGUUCUGCCCAGCGAGCCUCUUUCCACAAGCGCGGUGCUCUGGGGCGCGCCUGAAGCUCCAGCCAGCCAAGGCUCUUUCCUGCCUUCAAAGGCCCACCUCGAGUCAAUGCCAGAACCCGGCAACAGAUCCUGGUCCAACUCAUGCAAACCGCAGAACUGCAGGGCGGUUGAGGCCACUGAAUCCUGAGUUGAGAUCAAGUGGUUUAAUACCAAAGGAAAACAUCUUCAAAGUUUUGUUAGAGAGAAAGUCAAACAGUGAUAAUAUUGAACUCUCCGGCCUGCUAAGUCAUUUCUAUUUGGUCAGCUCUUGAUAGGAUGUGAGGUCUGAGGGCCCCCGCCCACCGGUUUAUUG
rnacentral:lncRNA from 12 species